GGAGAGAUAGCGAAGAGGCUAAACGCGGCGGACUGUAAAUCCGCUCCUUCGGGUUCGGGGGUGCGAAUCCCUCUCUCUCCA
rnacentral:tRNA from 1 species